AUCAAUUGCAACAACAAUAGUUCAAACUCAUCCACAGCCUCAUUCAUCACCAACUUUGUUGAUGCCCCCACCAAACAUAUAAGGUUGAGCAGUGCGUAAGUGGCAAUAAUGCUAAACAUCGAAGAUGAUGCCCCGAACUCCAUGACCUCUUGUUGGUACCUCAUUGAUAGAUCCUUAUCAAAGACCUUCGUGGUGAGAACAAAAGAAGUUUGGGAAAAUCCCAUAAUUUUGAAGAUGGUAUCAAUGGUGCCAUAGAGGUACGAGGUAAUCCUCUUGAAUACCCACAUCCUUUGUGUGUUCCACCACCCGAUCAAUGUUCCUCCACAUAGCAAUGACUCAAUAAGACAGUAUGCUUGCUUGGCAAGUAUAACAUAUGCAAAUGGUAUGAACCAAACACUAGAAACCUUCGGAAACAAUGAUAUACCUUUGAGUAAGCAAAUCGAGGGGAUGGCGAAGUAGUACAAGAAUGCCAAGCUGUUUGCAGCCCACAAGCCAUAAAUGCCAUAGCACAUUUGAAGUCCAAGUUUUAUCUUCCCAUGACCAUAUAGAAAGGGACAGUACUUGGAGGUAAAAAUUUGGAGGUGCCCCUCAGCCCAUCUCUUAUGUUGGACCAGAGUUUGGCCCAAAGUUGUGGGCGCUACACCAACGAAGCCUUUCCUUGCAGGGUUGUAAUAGACAGAUUUCCAGCCCCUGUAAUGUAUCGAUAGGCCGGUAAGAACAUCCUCGGCUGCACAGCCAUACAUCAACCCCAUCUCUUUUCCCCACUUGGUGUUUUGCUCAUAUGUGCAGGUAGUAAGUAACUUUGCCCUCUCUUCCAAUAUGCAUGGACUUUCUUCUGUAUGUCUCUUAGUUGCUCCCAUCAAAUCUUCUGUGUAAUCAUUGCUAUACUUCCUUCCACAUAAACUCUCUCUCCUGUG
rnacentral:misc_RNA from 1 species